GUGGGGCUGGGGUCGUCUCCCCAGGAGAGGCUGGAAGUCAGGGCCCGGCAGACUCCACAGGCUCAUCAGUUCAGCACAACGUGCUCCUGCAUUCAAGUAACAGGGCACGAGGCUGCUCACUGGCACUGGAGGCCAAAAGAAGGUGAGGGCAAGUGAGAUGCAGGGGCCUCUUCUCACAGCUGUGCUGACAAGCACCAACAGGAGCCCCCACUCUACACCAGAAAAGGGGAGGGUGGUGCACAAGAUCCAACAGGAACUUCGGAGUCACACUGACGUGGUUCAAAUCCCACCUCUGUCACUGAUAAACCGUGAGAUCUUGGCAAAUUGUUUAACUUUCCUCAUCCUCUAUUGACUCACAGGUUAAAUGGGACUUAGAAAGCUGCAUCAUAGGACUGGUAUGAGAUAAAGUACAGCACGUGGGAAACAUAAAGCCUGUGCACGUGAGGCCUCAGCAGAAGACGCUGAAUUGCUGUGUAUUGGUAGCCUCCUUUCCCUUACCAGGAAGUCCCCGCCUCUGGCUAAACCCUCAGGCUCACUUGCCGACCAUUACCGGGUCCUUGUCUCCCUCGCCUGUUUUCCCAUCACUUGAGGAACUUCGCCAGCUUUCUUUCCCAGAAGGCCCCAGUGCCCACCUUGCUUGCUGUCCUUCAAACCAAACAACCUGCUCAUUCUUCCAAAAAGGUUUUACUCUUCUCACUAAAGAGAAACAGAAAGGUGCAACAUUAGCCUUCCUUAAGCCUGGGCCCAAGUCCCAACCCUGACGCUACCUUGCAGUGCGACCUUCAAUUCAGUCAGGUGUCUACCUUCUCAGAUCCUCAAUUCUCUCACCCGUCAAUGAAAAGUACUGUCCUAAAUGAGCUUUAAGAGUCUCUCCUACCCUACAAACAUUGUUUUCUGUUAGAAACAAAAGAAACAUCUUGCAAAAUCUUCCUUAGUACUUAUAUACCGUAUUUCUCUCUGUACCCUUCUCACGCGUGAUCUGCUGACUCCCAAACUUCUUGCCACAGUGCUCCCUUGUCCUCAGAUGUUAGUGCUCCUCACCACCACCACUACCCUCUGAGUUCCCCCCACUGCCCCUGUGCUCUCAAACUGCCUGCAUUCUUUGGACGCCCUGUUUGGAAGAUUUGACAGGACUUCAGAUAUUCAGGUAGCUCAGUGAGCCAUUUUCUUCCCAGGUGGUUCAUUUCUUGGGGCAUUAUCCUCCCUUUCCUCUUUCCCCUUUUCUCACAAAAUCAUUGUCCCAGUCAACCUAAGUAAGUUCAGCAAUGGUAACAAAAGCCCCUAAAUCUUAGUGGCUUACAAUAGCCAAGAGCUAUUUCUUGCUCAUAUUCAUGUGCACGGCAGGUGGGCAAAGCCUGUUCCACAUCCUCUUCAUCCCAGAACCGAGAAGUCCCCAUCUGAUGGAGGAAGAGCCAAUGGGAUGGAUGCUCAAGCUUCUGCUUGAACCAAGUCCAUGUCACUUCUGUUCACAUUGUAUUAGCUAAAGCAAGUCACACAGGCAAGCCUGCUGUCAGUAGGGCAGGACGUGAGAGGACAAAAGCCCAGAGACAUGAGACAAUUCGCCUGAGGUUACACAGCAAAUCAGUGGAAGAGGAGGGACUAGAACCCAAAUGUGUCAACCUUCCUGUGCAGAUAUGAGAGAAGGGCCAAGAGGAGAUACAUCUGGAUUCAGUCCCAGCACCAUAAUUCUAGGCAAGCUAUUUCAACUCUGAGCCUUGGCUUCCCUUCUAUAAUACAGGCUGAGAGUACCUGCCUCCUGCAGGGAGGUUGGGUGAGUUGGGUGAAAUUUCAUAAAGUAUCUCACUCAGUGUCUCACACAGAGAAACCUCUUAAUACAUGUCUGUUUUCUGUCCCUUUCUUCCCUGUCAACUGCACCAAACUCCUUCAUUUCAUUCCCUUCUCUCUCCUUUCUUACCUAAUUCAAGCCCACCUUUUUUUUUUUUUUUUUU